rnacentral:rRNA from 1 species
CCUACGGGAGGCAGCAGUGGGGAAUAUUGCACAAUGGGGGAAACCCUGAUGCAGCGACGCCGCGUGAGUGAAGAAGUACUUCGGUAUGUAAAGCUCUAUCAGCAGGGAAGAAAAUGACGGUACCUGAUUAAGAAGCCCCGUCUAACUACGUGCCAGCAGCCGCGGUAAUACGUAGGGGGCAAGCGUUAUCCGGAUUUACUGGGUGUAAAGGGGGCGUAGACGGCAGCGCAAGUCUGAAGUGAAAUGCCGGGGCUUAACCCCGGAACUGCUUUGGAAACUGUGCAGCUGAGGUGCAGGAUGGGUAAGUGGAAUUCCUGGUGUAGCGGUGAAAGGCGUAGAUAUUAGGAGGAACACCAGUGGCGAAGGCGGCUUACUGACUGUAACUGACGUUGAGGCUCGAAAGCGUGGGGAGCAAACAGGAUUAGAUACCCUAGUAGUC